GAUGAACGCUGGCGGCGUGCCUAAUACAUGCAAGUCGAGCGAACAGACGCGGAGCUUGCUCCUCUGACGUUAGCGGCGGACGUGUGAGUAACACGUGGAUAACCUACCUAUAUGACUGGGAUAACUUCGGGACACCGGAGCUAAUACCGGAUAAUCUAUUGCACCGCAUUGUUCAAUAGUGAAAGACGGUUUUGCUGUCACUUCUAGCUGGAUCCGCGCCGCAUUAGCUAGUUGGUAAGGUAACGGCUUACCAAGGCAACGGUGCGUAGCCGACCUGAGAGGGUGGUCGGCCACACUGGAGGUGAGACACGGUCCAGACUCCUACGGGAGGCAGCAGAAGGGAAUCUGCGGCAAAGGGGGAAAGAAUGAAGGAGCAACGGCGCAUGAGUGAUGAAGGACUUCGGAUCGUAAAACUAUGUUAUUAGGGAAGAAAAAAGGUGUAAGUAACGAUGCACGUCGUGACGGUACAUAAUCAAAAAGACACGGCUAAAUACAUG
rnacentral:rRNA from 1 species